UCGUGCUAGGCGGGGAGCUAGCGGUGCCCUGUACCCGCAAUCCGCUACAGCGGGGCAGAACUCCCCCCCGAGGCGAACCGGCUUCCGACCGAACCUGCGCCGUGGGCGUUGAGGGGCGGGUCUUGCGCGGCAGGUCACCGUGAACCCCGUCAGGUCCGGAAGGAAGCAGCGGUAAGCGGACCGGCCUGGGUGCCGCAAGGGUGCCUGCCCUGAGCUGUGCGGACUGGCUUGGGCGUGUGCGCGGGCGUCGACGGGGGGUGCACGA
rnacentral:SRP_RNA from 1 species